rnacentral:rRNA from 1 species
GAGUUACAACUCCCAAACCCCAAUGUGAACGUUACCAAUCUGUUGCCUCGGCGGGAUUCUCUUGCCCCGGGCGCGUCGCAGCCCCGGAUCCCAUGGCGCCCGCCGGAGGACCAACUCCAAACUCUUUUUUUCUCUCCGUCGCGGCUCCCGUCGCGGCUCUGUUUUAUUUUUGCUCUGAGCCUUUCUCGGCGACCCUAGCGGGCGUCUCGAAAAUGAAUCAAAACUUUCAACAACGGAUCUCUUGGUUCUGGCAUCGAUGAAGAACGCAGCGAAAUGCGAUAAGUAAUGUGAAUUGCAGAAUUCAGUGAAUCAUCGAAUCUUUGAACGCACAUUGCGCCCGCCAGUAUUCUGGCGGGCAUGCCUGUCCGAGCGUCAUUUCAACCCUCGAACCCCUCCGGGGGGUCGGCGUUGGGGAUCGGCCCCUCACCGGGCCGCCCCCGAAAUACAGUGGCGGUCUCGCCGCAGCCUCUCCUGCGCAGUAGUUUGCACACUCGCACCGGGAGCGCGGCGCGGCCACAGCCGUAAAACACCCCAAACUUCUGAAAUGUUGACCUCGGAUCAGGUAGGAAUACCCGCUGAACUUAA